UGAGGGAUAUUGCACAAUGGGGGAAACCCUGAUGCAGCGACGCCGCGUGAGCGAUGAAGGCCUUCGGGUCGUAAAGCUCUUUUCUGUGUGACGAGCAAGGACGGUAGCACAGGAAUAAGUCUCGGCUAACUACGUGCCAGCAGCCGCGGUAAAACGUAGGAGGCAAGCGUUAUCCGGAGUUACUGGGCGUAAAGCGCAUGUAGGCGGUUGGACAAGUUGGUUGUGAAAGCGCCCGGCUAAACUGGGCGAGGCCGAUCAAAACUGUCCGGCUAGAGAGUGCUAGAGGGGCGCAGAAUUCGGGGUGUAGCGGUGAAAUGUGUAGAGAUCCCGAGGAAUACCAGUGGGGAAGCCGGCGCCCUGGGGCAUAUCUGACGCUGAGAUGCGAAAGCGUGGGGAGCGAACGGG
rnacentral:rRNA from 1 species